UGCAAGUCGAACGGCAGCACGGAGCUUGCUCUGGUGGCGAGUGGCGAACGGGUGAGUAAUAUAUCGGAACGUACCCAAGAGUGGGGGAUAACGUAGCGAAAGUUACGCUAAUACCGCAUACGAUCUAAGGAUGAAAGCAGGGGAUCGCAAGACCUUGUGCUCCUGGAGCGGCCGAUAUCUGAUUAGCUAGUUGGUGGGGUAAAGGCCCACCAAGGCAACGAUCAGUAGCUGGUCUGAGAGGACGACCAGCCACACUGGAACUGAGACACGGUCCAGACUCCUAC
rnacentral:rRNA from 1 species